rnacentral:lncRNA from 1 species
AGAAAACCACAGAGGUUAUUGUUUUUUUCCCUUUGGAGAGAAAGCAGUUGGGUUAUGGACAACAAACCACCUGUCUUCUGCUUGGAGAAUGUUCCCUUGUUGCCUUGUGUUCAAAGAAGGCCUCCUGAUGCCCAUUGCCAUGUUCUAUGUAGGACAAAAAAGCAGCCUUUCCCGCCAUCAUCUGCUGUCACAAUACUGAUUGGCUUGCCUUGCAAAAUUGCCUGGAGAGAGACAAAAGUUUGUACCAAGUACAAGAGAAUGAAAAAACUGAAGACCAAGUAAUAGUCAAUGGAAAAUCAUUUUUGAGGUGGUUUUCAAGACAUUUUGGUGAGGACCAUGUGCAGAAAAAGAAAAGAAGGAAAAGAAGAAAGGAUGAGGAAGAAGGAAAAGAAAUGGAGCAGGUAAAUUUCCAAUAAUAUUGACAUGAGUUAUUUUUCUUGUGAAGUGUUCUCCAACUUUCACAGGUAUACUAAAUGACACAAGGACUGUUUUUAUGUAGAGACUUAAACCUUCACUCACAUUUUGGAAACAUUGAGUAUCUUGAAGAAUUAAAGUCAUUGAACAUUUGAACUAUAAACCUUUUGAAAAUUCUGAAAUACAUGAUGGUCAUAUACUCUACUAUGUAUAAAAAUGUAACAAAUUGUCAAAAGCCCAGAGAGUGAAGCCUCAAAUAUCUCACUGUGCUUAUGCUUUCUGUAGAAUAAAACAAAAGUGCAAUGCA